UGAGGAACAUGACCUUCGGCGGGGGAUAGCCGGCCCAACGGCCGGGUAAUACCGCGUACGAUCACUUUGGGACAUCCCUCGGUGGUGAAAGCAGCAAUGCGCCGAUGGAGUGCCUCGCGGCCUAUCAGCUAGUUGGUGAGGUAACGGCUCACCAAGGCGACGACGGGUAGCUGGUCUGAGAGGAUGGCCAGCCACAUUGGGACUGAGACACGGCCCAGACUCCUAGGA
rnacentral:rRNA from 1 species